GGGUGCCGAUCCGACAGGGCGGCAGGUGUCAGCGCUGGUCGGGCCGCCAGUG
rnacentral:ncRNA from 2 species